rnacentral:rRNA from 1 species
UACGUAGGUGGCAAGCGUUGUCCGGAUUUACUGGGCGUAAAGAGCGCGCAGGCGGUCGUGCAAGUCGCGUGUGAAAGCCCCCGGCUCAACUGGGGAGGGUCACGCGAUACUGCUCGACUUGAAGGCAGGAGAGGGAAGCGGAAUUCCCGGUGUAGUGGUGAAAUGCGUAGAUAUCGGGAGGAACACCAGUGGCGAAGGCGGCUUCCUGGCCUGUUCUUGACGCUGAGGCGCGAAAGCUAGGGUAGCAAACGGG